CUUGCAAGGCUGUCUCUGGUUUCGUUUCACCACCCAGGAUAAACCUCAGCUUCAGUAACUCUCCUGCCGCUGCAGUCCUCCAGUCUUGGGGUGGUAGGGAACCCAAUUCCAACGCCUAGUGCUGGGGCACUCGCCAUACUCACUGCUCAAUUCUGGCUUUGUGGGCCAUUUCCUCCUCAGAGCAUGUGCUCCAAUCUCCAGCCAGCGACUAAAAUGCCUGCAGUGGCCCCUGCUGCCAGGUGGCCAGUGACUGACUUUGUAUAAGCCAGGGUUAAAGAUUGCGUCCUCAUCUCAGUCCCAAGUCCGGGAAAAUGGCUGCAGCUUUUCCUGGUGUCUCUCUGUCUCUUCGCCUCUCUCCAAGUUAUCUCCAGGGUUUGAGAGAAAUAAGUUAUUCUCCCUCGGCCUGGAUUGCACGGAUCCCUAGUGGAAAGGUGAGUCACAGAAACUGGCUCUCUGCCCCCUCACGUACUGGAGUGUCAGUUUUAUCAGCCAGAGACUAUCAUGGGGGCCACUUGUCCACCUCCUCCUCCUCGGGAUCUGGGGUGUCUUUUGCUAUUCCCGUGAAUUUCCGUGAUUUUUUAUUUUUUUUCUCACGGAGUGGAUCUUUAUGCAUUAUUUUGCUAUUUCCAAGUGGCUGAGGCACACCAUGUUGGGAAAAUUCCAUUAUCAAUUUAUGCCAUUAAUUCCUUCCAAGUUCUUUUGGUGUAUUUUGUUGUCUAUCUCUACUUGGAUGAGUUUGUCAUUAAAUCAUCAUUUUCAGUAUAUGAUUAAAGCAUAUAAACUAACACUUUAGUUGUAUCCUACCAAGUCUUACAUGCAGCUUCCAUUUAUUUAAAAAUUGUUGAUCUCUUACUAUGUGCCAGGCAUCCUUGUAGUUGUAUGGGAAAGAUAAAAAUUGCUGCCCUUAUGGAGUGGGAAGAUACAUUUUACAGUUAACAUGUGUACAUACAUGCACACAUACAUAUAUAGGGAUAGAUGCAAUGGGAAAAAGAGUAUAUUAAAAAGCAGUUGGAGUUUAAGGGGUACAGUUGCUAAAGUAACAAUAUUCACUGUCAUUUGAAGUAUUUUCCAAUUUUCAACAUGAUUUGACAUUUCUAGAAGUUAAUCCUUUCAAUCCAAGCAUAUGGACAUUUGGCAUGUCUUGGAUUAUCUACAUAAUUUUUAAAAAUUAAAAACAUCUAAAAACUGAUAUUUGUACAUAUUAGUGGGGUAGAUGUGGUAUUUUGUUACAUGCGUAGAACGUGUAAUGAUAAAGUCAGGAUACUUAGGGUAUCCAUCACCUUGAGUAUUUAUCAUUUGUGUUGGGUACAUGACCAGUUCUCUCUUCUAGUUACUUUGAAAUACAUUGUAAAGCAAAUGUAUACACUGUUAACUACAGUCACCAUCUCUAUUUCAUAGGUGAUUUCUAAUCUUGUCUUAUAAGGUGAUUUCUCUUGUCUGAAAAACUAUUACGGUCUUCAGUAUUAAGUUUUGCUUUGUGGUCUACUAUAAUGAAUUUUUGUGAAUAUGUUAUUCCAUGUGUAUUUGGAAAAGUUUUACCUAAUAGUCCAGUGACAAUUUAUUAUAUAAUUUCAUUAGAUCCAGCUUUUAAAUUUUGCUCCAUUCUUUUAUAUAUGUAUUCACCAUGCCCAGCUAAUUUUUAGAUUUUUUUGUGACAGGGUUUCACCAUGUUGCCCAGGCUGGUCUCAAACUGCUGGGCUCAAAUGAUGUGCCUGCUUCAGCCUCCCAAAGUGCUGGGAUUACAGACAUGAGACACUGCACAUGGCCUAUUACUAUUCUUAUGGGUUUCAGCUUCUCAUUGUGAAUUGCUUCAUAUAUUUUGAGGCUGUUUCAGAGCUGUUAUAAUCCUGGUGAAUUGCUCCAUUUAUCAUUGUUAAAAGCUUACUCUCUUUAUUCCCACACUCCCUUUAUUAUUUUACCUUAAAAUCAAUUUUAAGGUAAUUCCAAAGCAAAAUCAAUUUUAUCUGAUUGUCACUUCUUUUUUGAUAGAUUUUUAGUAUAUCUUUUCCAAUCUAUUUUUAACUAUUACAUCAUUAUGUUUAAGAAGUCUCUGUAAGCUUUUUUUUUUUUUUUUUUUUUUUUUUUUUUUUUUUUUUUUUUUUUUUUUUUUUUUUUUUUUUUUUUUGUGAUUCUCCUGCCUCAGCCUCCCGAGUAGCUGGGACUACAGGUACACGCCACCACGCCUGGCUAAUUUUUUUUUUUUGUAUUUUUUAGUAGAGACGGGGUUUUACCAUAUUGGCCAGGCUGGUCUUGAACUCCUGAUCUUGUUAUCCGUCCGCCUUGGCCUCCCAACGUGCUGGGAUUACAGGCGUGAGCCACCCGCUCCCCACCAAAGUGCUGGGAUUACAGGCAUAAGCCACGGCACCCCAUGCCCGGCCCACAUGUGGUCUUUAAACUUGCAAGUUUAUGGUACUUAUUGUAACUACUUAGAUAUUUGGAUUUGUUAUUUUGUGAUUUUUUUCUUCGCUUCUCUGUUGCCUUUAACAGGGUUCAUUUUAUUACAUGUUGUUUCUUCCUUAUUUAUCUAAAUUUAACCUGAUUUUUGCCUAAUACACAAAUACUUUCAGGUUUAUACUGCUUUAUCACCACAGCUGGACACAACUGGUUUCAUACUGCCUUCUGGCAAUUGCAAGAUGUCUGAACUCUCUUGAACGUAUUUCCUUACCUUUUAAAAUGGUAAAAUUUUGUGGAUAAAAUAUUGGGUACUUACUUACAAUCAGACAAUCACCUCUGAAAGGUUACAACUCUUACCUCAUUAAUCAGUAGGAACAGGGUUUUGAUUUAAAGCAAAACUCUAUCUCAUUCUUCCAAACUCAGGAGUUAGCAAAAUGGGAAUGAACUGCCAGUUAUUCAGCCUUCUAGACUUUAUUCGCAUUUGUUUAAAGUGCAUAGGCGUAUAAACACUUUUCUGGAUUGAGGAUCCAAAUCCUUCAAAUUUCCCAAGUUGUCCAACCACAAAAAAAUUAAGCACCAAAUGCUCCAGUCUAGACCGGGGACCUCAACCAUUUUCUUUUCCCAACAUGCUAAGCUAUUUGACACAUUUUUAUUAGGAACAGCAAUUCUCAAAACUGAGGAGCUAUUAUCAGAAUCACUGGGGCAGGAAGCGUCCAUUUGCCUGUUGAGAAUUUCUAAAGUCUUAAAAUUCAUUUAUUCCUGGGUUGUUCUCUAACAAUACUUCCAACAUUAGCAAAGUACUAUUAGUUUUCAGAAUCAAUAGUAUCUGAAGGUUUGAAAAAUUUCCCAGGUUACUUAAAAACCCUCAUUGCCAAGUAAAUUUUUAUAAAUGAACUUGAUGAUCUGUCCACAGACCAUCAUCAAAUCAAUAAAGUUCAAUAGGUGAAAAUUAAACCUCAGGUGUGCAAAAUUCAUGGUUCAAGGAGUAGGUAGACAUAUUUAUUAUAAUUACACGAUUGUUAACAAUGUGUACUGCCAUCCAAAAAUGAACUACAUUUAUUGCUACUUUGUUCACUAGCAUAAAGAUGCAAUUUACUUACAUAGAAAAUAUUUUAUAUGCUUUGAUACUGCCAUGUGUAAACAUUCUUAUGGAUAUGUUUGUGAACUAAAAUUGACAAAUAUAUAUUCCUAUGUUACCAACUUAAGAUCAUAAACCAUUCUCAUGUCUGCUCAUUAAAGCUAAAGGGUCUAUUACAUGUGAAUCUCAAUUAUUUUUAUAGAAACAUCACACUUGAUUACCAUUUUCUGCAUUUCAAUGGUUGCUGUUUGUAUUGAAAACAAACUGAGAAAUUGAGAAAUCAAAUGUAGUACCUCUCUUAAAAAGAGGAAUUGUUAACAAGUAGGAACUAAACUGCCAAAAGUUAUUUUCCAUAAUGACUAGAGUCAGUCAUCACAUACACAAAUUAUUAUUUAUUUAUUUAUUUUUUUCUUGAGAUGGAGUCUUGCUCUGUCAC
rnacentral:antisense_RNA from 1 species